AACGAACGCUGGCGGCAGGCUUAACACAUGCAAGUCGAACGCACCGCAAGGUGAGUGGCAGACGGGUGAGUAACGCGUGGGAACGUGCCCUUCAGUUCGGAAUAACCCAGGGAAACUUGGGCUAAUACCGGAUACGUGCGAGAGCAGAAAGAUUUAUCGCUGAAGGAUCGGCCCGCGUCUGAUUAGCUGGUUGGUAGGGUAAUGGCUUACCAAGGCGACGAUCAGUAGCUGGUCUGAGAGGAUGAUCAGCCACACUGGGACUGAGACACGGCCCAGACUCCUACGGGAGGCAGCAGUGGGGAAUAUUGGACAAUGGGCGCAAGCCUGAUCCAGCCAUGCCGCGUGAGUGAUGACGGCCUUAGGGUUGUAAAGCUCUUUCGGCGGGGACGAUAAUGACGGUACCCGCAGAAGAAGCCCCGGCUAACUUCGUGCCAGCCGCCGCAGUAACAC
rnacentral:rRNA from 1 species